rnacentral:rRNA from 1 species
AGGGUGCGUAGGCGGUGUUGUGGGUCUGAGGUGAAAGGUCGGGGCUCAACCCUGAGAAUGCCUUGGAAACUGCAAGACUUGAGUGCUGGAGAGGCAAGGGGAAUUCCACGUGUAGCGGUGAAAUGCGUAGAGAUGUGGAGGAAUACCAGUGGCGAAGGCGCCUUGCUGGACAGUGACUGACGCUGAGGCACGAAAGCGUGGGGAGCAAACAGGAUUAGAUACCCUGGUAGUCCACGCCGUAAACGAUGAGUGCUAGGUGUUGGGGGGUACCACCCUCAGUGCCGAAGGAAACCCAAUAAGCACUCCGCCUGGGGAGUACGGUCGCAAGACUGAAACUCAAAGGAAUUGACGGGGCCCGCACAAGCAGUGGAGCAUGUGGUUUAAUUCGAAGCAACGCGAAGAACCUUACCAGGGCUUGACAUCCCCCAGACGGGUGUAGAGAUACACCGUCCCUUCGGGGCUGGGGAGACAGGUGGUGCAUGGUUGUCGUCAGCUCGUGUCGUGAGAUGUUGGGUUAAGUCCCGCAACGAGCGCAACCCUUGAUCGGUGUUACCAGCGCGUGAAGGCGGGGACUCACCGGUGACUGCCGUCGUAAGACGGAGGAAGGCGGGGAUGACGUCAAAUCAUCAUGCCCCUUAUGUCCUGGGCGACACACGUGCUACAAUGGGCGGCACAACGGGACGCGAGAGAGCAAUCUGGAGCCAACCCCUGAAAACCGCUCGUAGUUCGGAUUGCAGGCUGCAACUCGCCUGCAUGAAGCCGGAAUUGCUAGUAA